rnacentral:rRNA from 1 species
GACGACGCUGGCGGCGUGCUUAAUACAUGCAAGUCGAACGGAGCCUAGCUGGUGGUUUACUACCGGCGAAAGCUUAGUGGCGGACGGGUGAGUAACGCGUGGGUAAUCUACCCCUAAGUCCGGGAUAACAGAGCGAAAGUUCUGCUAAUACCGGAUACUCUUCCCGGGUCGCAUGGUCUGGGAAGGAAAGGUUUACUGCUUAGGGAUGAGCCCGCGUCCCAUUAGCUAGUUGGUGAGGUAACGGCUCACCAAGGCGACGAUGGGUAGCCGGCCUGAGAGGGUGGACGGCCGCACUGGGACUGAGACACGGCCCAGACUCCUACGGGAGGCAGCAGUAGGGAAUUUUCCGCAAUGGGCGAAAGCCUGACGGAGCAACGCCGCGUGAGGGAAGAAGGUCUUCGGAUCGUAAACCUUUGUCAUCGGGGACGAUCAUGACGGUACCCGAGGAGGAAGCCCCGGCUAACUACGUG